rnacentral:tRNA from 1 species
GCCUGGGUGGCUCAGCUGGUUGAGCCCCUGACUUCAGCUCAGGUGGUGAUCUCAUGGUUUGUGGGUUUGAGCCCCAAGUCGGGCU